AUGAUGAUGGUUCCUCUCGUGUUCGGGUUUCGGUUUCAGGCCUCCGUGCGAGAAGGGGCAGGGGCAACAACACACACACACACACCCAGCCGCCCCCUUAAUGUUUGGACGUAGUUGAACUACUGUAUGUCAAGUAACUAGUCUUACCGAGCAAACCAAGGUUAUUGAUACGUGUGGAUGUGGAACUUGCGGUCUGGGAUGCUGGAGUGGUCAUGGGUCGAGAUACAUGGAAACUUGAAACGAGACUAGAAGAUUACAUAUACUUGGGUUUUGGUUAAACUUUGUAUUAUGCUUCCGCUGAACACAACGGGUUAUAAAUAAUGUUUCGUAAUACAUAUCUCAAUGAAUGAAAUCUUUUAUUUC
rnacentral:lncRNA from 1 species